UUCCUUAGGCAUGCCCCAUAUUUAAAUCAGAACAAAUAGCUAGAAAUAAAAACGUCUGUGAUUGGAUAGAAACUACCGACACUUAUUAGCAUAAAUGCAGCAUACCAUAGCAGUAUGGAACAAAGGGACAAAUAGAAUAACCUACCAGAUAUAUGCACAAGGGCAGGAUUUGUUGAUUGACGAUACUGAAAAAAUCACAGGAGCACUGACUAAUGGUCUAGUGAUACCCGCGGGAACAAAAUGUCAUCGAAGAUACCAGGCUUUUAAUUCAAUAAGCCACAAGUGUUGUGGUAGCACUGAGUUUUGAGCUAAAACUAUCCUCGGGGAUGAAACGUCCACCAAUUUAGAACCUUGUGUUGAUAUAUUUUUGUGUGUUUAGUUGUUCAGUUGUUGCCUUAUUUACUUCUACACCAUAUUUCCUUUUAGUCAUAUGGAUUGUUUAUACAAUAUAUAAAUGAAGAAUUUUUACACGAAAUUGCUUACUUGUAUGGUUCUAUAACACAUUUGAGCGAUGAUUAUUAAAAUGUUUAAAACUGAAGAGUUACUAAAACCAACCUAAAAGCAGUGAAAAUACAAAAUAAGAAGACAGUUACAUAAGCGAUACCCACGGGAGCUAAAUGUGCACCAACAGUGACAUCGACUUGGUCGCAGUAAUACGAUCAAAAAGGAUAUCAAAAUUAAUUUGAUGCAUCAUACAUAAAGUGUACAUUGCAGCAGUCCUUGUUGUUGAUAGAAAAAAGUUUUUUUUAAACAUUACAUGAAAAGUUGGCCACACAAAUGUUAUUAUGUCUAUACCUCUUAAUCCUAGAUUAGCGCGUUAAUAAUAAUUUAAAAAUUCAACUAAUUCAUUUAGAGCAACGACAUAAAUGAUGCCAUACUUGUCUUAUUUGGUUUUUACUUCGAAUUCAUGUAAUUGAGGUAAGAUAAAGCUGAACAUUAUUUCUUUAUAAGACACCGUAAAUAUUUUCAAAACCAAGAAAAGCAUUUUUCAUCCACACUUCAUUGAAAGGAACAUAGCAACUAAAUAUUUUGACUUCAAUAUAAUAUGAAUGAGACUGAACAUCUCCUUCCAGACAAGGGAGAAGGAGACGUUAUUUCUAUUUCACUCAAAAAAAAAAUUAUGCUCAAAAUUUUACAUUACUUUUCAACACAAAAAAGUAUUAUAAAUUUCUGUGAUCCACUGUGUAUCGCUAUUUCAUUAUUUUGCAUGAUUCUAAGUCUCAAUGAUAAUUAACCAAUAUAAUGCAAAAAUACAUUAUUAGAACACAAAAGAUAUUUAGUGACAAUGUUCUCCCGAUUUCAUAUAAUAGGUAAGGUAAAAGUUCAAAAGCUGUCAUCAGCUAAUAAUGUUUUAUCAAAAGCAUACUACUAUUCACUUAAGGUGGAUCAUCGGUAUAUAUUUUCUCAGAUAGAAUGUUCUUAUACUUGGCAAAAAUGUAUAUUUUACCAUGCUUUUUUCAAAAAUAUAUCAUAAAGUAUGGGUCACAGUGCUAUAUUUCAAGCUACAAGUCGUGCAAAAUUGCCAAAAUUUUCUUAGAUUAUUCAUGAAAAAAACACUUUUUUGUGAAUAAAAAGAAAUCUAUUGAAUAUAAUUUUGAAAUAAAAUAUGAGAAGAUAGGUUUUAUGAUACACUUUGAGAAUAUAAAACGAAAAAUGGUGUCCCGAACUUGUUUUCUUGCUGUUCGUAAAAAAAGAAAAUUUCUUUUACAGUUUUUGAUAAAAAAAAAUACUAUUUGGGUUAUCUCCCCUUAAAUGGCAAAGUUGAAAAAUGGUUUCGAAUGAACAAAACUAGUUGGGUUUUGUUAAAGCAAUCUAUAUAUUGCAAUAAAUCGCUUAUUUUUCUUUAUUCAAAUAAGCAGUCUAACACAUUAAUUGCCAAUAUGUCUCAAAAAAUUGUAGACUUAAGCAAAGAACUAGACUGAUUUCGUACUGCUUUUACACAAUCAAAGAUGGAGGUAUACAGUUAAUCUACCUUAAUUGAAUUAUGUUUUUCUUUUCUGUUGGAACAUCAGAAUCUUUAUAAACAAGAAAUUCUACUAUUACGCAAUUGUUGCAUACAUUUUAUGUAAGACAUAUCGAUUCGUCCAUUUACAGUUUGGAGAAAGACUCAUAUCUUUUGUUACUUUUUAUUUGUAUUUAAUUUCUGUACUCAAACUUACAUCGGGUUAUUGCACAUGUGAGCUGUUGUUUUUCUUGAUGGUUAUAUAUCGUAAAAUUGAGAAUUGAAAUGGGGAAUAUGCCAAAGAGACAACAAUCCGACCAAAGAGCAAACAACAGCCGAAUCGGUUUAUUUUCUUUCAGAAAUUGUCAUUUCAUUAAAUAAAUAAUUGAUGUUUUUGUGA